rnacentral:rRNA from 1 species
UUUAGUUAUAACACAACAACACCUAAUUAUUAAAAGCUAUAACCUCUAAAUUUAAAGGAUUUGGCGGUAAUCUAGUCCAGUUAGAGGAACCUGUUUAAGAAACGAUACACCACGCAACAUCUUACCUAACCUAAAAGUUUGUAUACCGUCAUUCUCAGAUAACUCUAAAAAGAUAAAGUUAUUCUCAUAGGGAUUUUCCUAGUAUAUUAGAUCAAGGUGCAGCCUAUGGAUAGGAUAUAAUGGGUUACAAUAAAAUCUUAUAUUAUUACGGACAGAAAGCAAAAAUGCUCUCUCGAAGGAGGAUUUAAUAGUAAAUUUAGUUUAAUAAGCUAACUUGAUAUUGGAUCUAGAUUGAGUACAUAUCGCCCGUCGCUUUCAUUUCCAAAUGAAAUAAGUCGUAACAUAG